UCAACAUAGUAAUCAACAUAUAUUUUCUCUCAACUUUAACCCAAAAUGCAUCUAAUUUCUUUUAACACAAAUCUACCCCAAAGAUCCACACUUGUGUCACGCCGAUCACGUCCAGCGGCACUCUUCCUGGUCCUAUCAGAGAUCAACCAACCUGCGCUUCGCCUAAUACAGUGCAUUUGGAAAAUCACAUCUUUUGGACUGGCUGGAGGAAUGACCACCAAGGAGACUGUGUGGAGAACACUAACACAACUCCUGACAAAUGCCAUGAACUGGAGAGGGGCCAAUGGGAAGGAGGCAUUCGAACCACUUGCCCUGGUGGCACUGUUUUUGUCACAAGGUGCCAACAUCAAUGCUCAGAUAGAGGAGACAGUAAUCAGUGAUGGUCUAACAUGUGUUGAGUCAUACUGCUUUUUUUAAUAACUUUGCAUGGGUGAGUUGGAUUAAUGGAUGGUCCAUUGUGUGUCUACAACGGUCUCCACUCUGACAGGAAAAGACAUGCACUGCUGUGAAGGAUCCUGCCUGACUCAAAUGCUUCAAAUGGCACAGUUACUGGCACAGGCUGUCUGUUUGACAGGCAUUUAUCAAAAGGAAACCACCAGAACACUAUCCCUAAAAACAGUGAAUAAAGUGAUUGUUUGAUUGAACCCGUUUUAUCAUAGACUAAUUACAUGUAGACUACAUAUUUUGUUACCCUUUCCUGAUUUAAAAAAGGAGGCUGCGAAUUUUUGCAGCUUUUUGUUAAAAAUCGCGCAAAAUUUCAAUGUCCUCCUACUCAUGCCAGGAAUAUAGUAUAUGCAUAUGAUUAGUAUGUGUGGAUAGGAAACACUCUGAAGUUUAUAAAACUGGUUGAAUCAUGUCUGUGACUAUAACAGAACGUGUUUAGCAGGCAAAAUCCCAAGGAAAACUGUUCAAAAAAAAAAAAAAAAAAAAAAAAUAUCCCUCCGCCAGUCUCUGUAUUGUCUAUGGCAAGGGAAAAUAGAUAGCGUCCAGUUUACAAUGCCUACAGCUUCCACACGAUGUCACCAGUACUGGCAUUUAGAUUGAAGUUAAUCCUUGGUGAAAUGAGGAAUAGGCACUUCCUGUCUUCGGGUACACCGGAGGAAGUUAUGAAAGACAGAAUGUGGACCAUGAUUUCAAAAUGUGCUGCUAUUGAAUACAGAUCGCCCCGUGAUCAAUUUGAUCGAUUAUUAACGUUUACUAAUACCUAAAGUUGGAUUACAAAAGUAGUUUGAAGUGUUUUGUCAAAGUUUAUAGGCAACUUUUUUAAUUUUAAAAAAUGACGUUGCGUUUUGGAACGGUGCUUUUUCAUGGAUCAGACGGGCUUCAUAAAUGGACAUUUAGGGUAUACAUGGACGGAUUUAAUCGAAAAAAAGACCCAAUUGUGAUGUUUAUGGGACAUAUAGGAGUGCCA
ensembl:lncRNA